AUGGCCUCGGAGUGACCUUUGACCCCUCCCUCCAGGCUCCGCCCCCCCUCCCCCUCCCCCCACAGAAUAUUUAAAGGGACGGAGGAGAGCGGCCCUAUAGGGGAACCCAGGAGAGGUGGCGCUAUGCUGUUGGUGACGGUGGUGGCCGCCGCGGCGCUGCUGGGGGCGUGUGGGGCUGAGACCCCCACCCCGGAGACGCCCCUGGCCCCAUUGACGCUGUGGGGCCGCGUGGAGGAGGCGGCCAAGAACUUCAGCGACCGCCUGUGGGGCAGCGAUGUGGAGCAAAGCGUCGCCUCCCUCAGCAAACGCCUCCGCCGCCGUUUCUCCCGCGACGGCGAAGAGCUCCGCUCCCGGUGGGGCCAAUACCGCCAAGCCGUGCAAGACCGAGCCCUGCGCUGGAAGGAGCGCUGGAGAGGGAGGGGAGGGGAGGAGGAGGAGCGGGGAGAGGCGGUUUGAGAGGGGUUGUUUUGGGGGGGUGGGGGGGGGGGAUGUUGGGGAGUGGUGGAAUGGAGUAAAAGCGGUGCACGGCGCUGUGUGUGCGCGUUGUUGGGGUGGGGAGGGUGCAAGGGGUGCACGUGGCGAUGCACGGGUCGCAGCGGGGUCGCAGCGGGCUUGCGUUGCCAUGCACGGGGUGCAAAUCUCCUGCACGGUACAUUCCCGUUGCAAUGCACAGCAAUGACAACAGGGGGUCCACUGCACCUGCAUUGCAGUGCUCUGGGUGCAAAGUGUUCAGGGUGUGAUGCAUGGGUUGCAAUGCGCUUGCGUUGCCAUGCACGGAGUUCCAAUCUCCAGAGCAAUCCAUUCCCAUUGCAAUGCACAGCAAUGACACAGGGGGUCCACUACACCUGCAUUGCAGUGCUCUGGGUGCAGAGUGUUCAGGGUGUGAUGCACGGGUUGCAAUGCGCUUGCGUUGCGAUGCAUGGGGUGCAAAUCUCCAGAGCAAUCCAUUCCCAUUGCAAUGCACAGCAAUGACACAGGGGGUCCACUACACCUGCACUGUAGUGCUCUGGGUGCAAAGUGUUCAGGGUGUGAUGCAUGGGUUGCAAUGCGCUUGCGUUGCCAUGCACGGGGUGCAAAUCUCCAGAGCAAUCCAUUCCCAUUGCAAUGCACAGCAAUGACACAGGGGGUCCACUACACCUGCACUGUAGUGCUCUGGGUGCAAAGUGUUCAGGGUGUGAUGCAUGAGUUGCAAUGCGCUUGCGUUGCGAUGCACGGGGUGCAAAUCUCCAACACAGUCCAUUCCCAUUACAAUGCACAGCAGCAGUGCAGGGGUGUAAACUGCACUCAUUGCAGUCCUCUGGGUGGAAGGUACUCAGGCUCUGAUACAUGGGUUGCAAUGGGCUUGUGUUGUGAUGCACGGGAUGCAAAUGUUGGAGGCAACACGUGCAUGGAGCAAUGUGCAGGAGGAGUGCAGGAGGUGCUAAGUGCACUCGUUGCAAUCCUCUGGGUGUAAGGUGUUCCAGGUGCAAUGCACAUGUUGCAAUGCGCUUGCAUUCUGAUGCCCGGGCUGCAAAUCUCCAACACCAUCCAUUCCCAUUGCAAUACACAGCAGCAGUGCAGGAGGUGCAAACUGCACUCAUUGCAAUCCUCUGGGUGCAAGGUGUUCCAGGUGCAAUGCACGGGUUGCAAAGUGCUUGCAUUGUGAUGCACAGGAUGCAAAUGUUGCAGGCAACACGUGCCCAUUGCAAUGCACAGCAGCAGUGCAGGAGCUGCAAAGUGGCUGCGUUGCAACCAUCGAGGUGUGCGGUGCUCACGUUGCAAUGCACGUGUUGCAACGAGGUUGCAUUCCUAUGCACGGGCUGCAAAUCCCAGUAUGACCCCAUUGCCCCCCCAUUCUAAUCCCAGUUUAAUCCCAGUAUAACCCCAUUAUAACCCCAUUACAAUCCCAUUGCCGCCUCAUUCUAAUCCCAGUAUAACCCCAUUAUACUCCCAGUAUGAUCCCAAUAGAACCCCAUUCUAAUCCCAGUAUAACCCCAUUGCCCCCAUUGGAAUCCCAUUACCACCCCAUUCUAAUCCCAGUAUGAUCCCAGUACAACCCCAUUAUAACCCCAUUAUAAUCCCAUUGCCCCCCAUUCUAACCCCAUUAGAACCCCAUUCUAAUCCCAGUUUAACCCCAUUGCCCCCAUUGUAAUCCCAUUCUCACCCCAUUCUAAUCCCAGUUUAAUCCCAGUAUAACCCCACUAUAACCCCAGUAUAACCCCAUUCUAAUCCCAGUAUAACCCCAUUAUAACCCCAUUAUAAUCCCAUUGCCGCCUCAUUCUAAUCCCAGUAUAACCCCAUUAUACUCCCAGUAUGAUCCCAAUAUAACCCCAUUAUAAUCCCAGUAUAACCCCAUUGCCCCCAUUGGAAUCCCAUUCUCACCCCAUUCUAAUCCCAGUAUGAUCCCAGUACAACCCCAUUAUAACCCCAUUAUAAUCCCAUUAUAAUCCCAUUGCCCCCCAUUCUAAUCCCAUUAGAACCCCAUUCUAAUCCCAGUAUAACCCCAUUGCCCCCACUGUAAUCCCAUUCUCACCCCAUUCUAAUCCCAGUUUAAUCCCAGUAUAACCCCAUUAUAACCCCAUUCUCACCCCAUUCUAAUCCCAGUAUAAUCCCAUUAUAACCCCAUUCUAAUCCCAUUACCCCCUCAUUCUAAUCCCAUUAUAACCCCAUUAUAAUCCCAUUCUAAUCCCAUUCUAAUCCCAAUAUAACCCCAUUCUAAUCCCAGUAUGAUCCCAUUAUAACCCCAUUAUAAUCCCAUUGCCCCCCAUUCUAAUCCCAGUAUAACCCCAUUCUAAUCCCAGUAUGAUCCCAAUGGAACCCCAUUAUAACCCCAUUAUAAUCCCAUUGCCCCCCCAUCUAAUCCCAAUAGAACCCCAUUCUAAUCCCAGUAUAACCCCAUUGCCCCCCCAUUAUAAUCCCAGUGUAACCCCAUUCUAACCCCAGUAUGAUCCCAGUAUAACCCCAUUCUAAUCCCCGUAUAGCCCCAUUGCCCCCCAUUAUAAUCCCAUUAUAACCCCAUUAUAACCCCAGUAUAACCCCAGUAUAACCCCAUUCUAAUCCCAUUGGCCCCCCAUUCUAAUCCCAGUAUAACCCCAUUCUAAUCCCAGUAUGAUCCCAAUGGAACCCCAUUAUAACGCCAUUCUAACCCCAUUGGCCUCUCAUUCUAAUCCCAAUAGAACCCCAUUUUAAUCCCAGUAUGAUCCCAGUAUAAUCCCAUUAUAAUCCCAGUACAACCCCAUUGCCCCCCAUUAUAAUCCCAUCAUAACCCCACUAUAAUCCCAUUGCCCCCCCAUUCUAAUCCCAGCAUAACCCCAUUCUAAUCCUAUUAUCAUCCCAGUAUAGCCCCUUUAUAAUCCCA
ensembl:lncRNA